CCUACGGGUGGCAGCAGUGGGGAAUAUUGGGCAAUGGACGCAAGUCUGACCCAGCAACGCCGCGUGAAGGAAGAAGGCUUUCGGGUUGUAAACUUCUUUUAAGGGGGGAGAGUAGAAGACGGUACCUGACGAAUAAGCCACGGCUAACUACGUGCCAGCAGCCGCGGUAAUACGUAGGUGGCAAGCGUUGUCCGGAUUUACUGGGUGUAAAGGGCGUGUAGCCGGGUUGACAAGUCAGAUGUGAAAUCCUGCGGCUUAACCGCAGAACUGCAUUUGAAACUGUGGAUCUUGAGUACUGGAGAGGCAGACGGAAUUCCUAGGGUAGCGGUGAAAUGCGGAGAUAGUAGGAGGAACACCAGUGGCGAAGGCGGGCUGCUGGACAGCAACUGACGGUGAGGCGCGAAAGCGUGGGGAGCAAACAGGAUUAGAUAACCUAGUAGUC
rnacentral:rRNA from 1 species